rnacentral:sRNA from 1 species
UGGAGCUGGGCCUCGCGGGCCGCCGGGUGCUGGUCACCGGGGCAGGCAAAGGUAUAGGGCGCGGCACGGUCCAGGCGCUGCACGCGACGGGCGCGCGGGUGGUGGCUGUGAGUCGGACUCAGGCGGAUCUUGACAGCCUUGUCCGCGAGGUAGGCCCCGCCGGGUCCCAGCGCUGCGAGGCGGCGAGCCGGGAGGGGGCGCCAGCGAGCGGGGGCGGUACCUCUGUGCGCGACUCCGCCGCCCCUCGCGGGCGCUGCGCUUCUCACCGCGGCCUGGGCGCCCUCGCACCCUCUCUCGGGGCUGGUGGCCUGCGUGGGCGGCCGGGUGGUCGGCAGAGCCGUCGGGGCCCCCCCGGCUCAGAAAGAGGCCGAAAUGGCUGCGAAGCAGACCCCGGGCAGGAGUCGCUCGGGCGCAGGGAGGAAGUGAACCGGCCGGAGGUAGCGCCCGGCUGCUGGCCCCACAGUCCCGACACCUUCGGAACUCCUAACUCCUGUACUUGUCCGGCUGAAAGGUCACCUGCCCCAGUCCCCAGCUGUGCCGCUUGCUGGGCACGGAGCCUCUGGUAACUGCCCCCUGAUACACACAGUGCCCGGGGAUAGAACCCGUGUGCGUGGACCUGGGUGACUGGGAGGCCACCGAGCGGGCGCUGGGCAGCGUGGGCCCCGUGGACCUGCUGGUGAACAACGCCGCUGUCGCCCUGCUGCAGCCCUUCCUGGAGGUCACCAAGGAGGCCUUUGACAGAUCCUUUGAGGUGAACCUGCGUGCGGUCAUCCAGGUGUCACAGGUGAGCUGCCCUGUGGGCUGGACGGGAAUUCUCGUGAGUGAUGCCAGCUCUGCCUCACGGUCUCGCUGCAAUUCCAGAUUGUGGCCAGGGGCUUAAUAGCCCGGGGAGUCCCAGGGGCCAUCGUGAAUGUCUCCAGCCAGGGCUCCCAGCGGGCAGUAACUAACCAUAGCGUCUACUGCUCCACCAAGGGUGCCCUGGACAUGCUGACCAAGGUGAUGGCCCUAGAGCUCGGGCCCCACAAGGUGAGCAGGGCUGGGGUACCUCCCCCAACCUAGGGCACCCCACUUGCCCUGCUGACCCCAGCUGUCCCGGUGUAGAUCCGAGUGAAUGCAGUAAACCCCACAGUGGUGAUGACGCCCAUGGGCCAGGCCGCCUGGAGUGACCCCCACAAGGCCAAGACUAUGCUGGACCGAAUCCCACUUGGCAAGUUUGCUGAGGUAGAGCACGUGGUGGACGCCAUCCUCUUUCUGCUGAGUGACCGAAGUGGCAUGACCACGGGCUCCACUUUGCCGGUGGAAGGGGGCUUCUGGGCCUGCUGAGCUCCCUCCACACACCUCAAACCCCAUGCCGUGCUCAUCCUACCCCCAAUCCCUCCAAUAAACCUGAUUCUGCUGCCCAGA